rnacentral:rRNA from 1 species
GAAAGAUGGCUUUGGCUAUCACUCUGGGAUGGACCUGCGGUGCAUUAGCUAGUUGGUAAGGUAACGGCUUACCAAGGCGAUGAUGCAUAGCCGAGUUGAGAGACUGAUCGGCCACAAUGGAACUGAGACACGGUCCAUACUCCUACGGGAGGCAGCAGUAGGGAAUCUUCCACAAUGGGCGCAAGCCUGAUGGAGCAACACCGCGUGAGUGAAGAAGGGUUUCGGCUCGUAAAGCUCUGUUGUUGGAGAAGAACGUGCGUGAGAGUAACUGUUCACGCAGUGACGGUAUCCAACCAGAAAGUCACGGCUAACUACGUGCCAGCAGCCGCGGUAAUACGUAGGUGGCAAGCGUUAUCCGGAUUUAUUGGGCGUAAAGCGAGCGCAGGCGGUUGCUUAGGUCUGAUGUGAAAGCCUUCGGCUUAACCGAAGAAGUGCAUCGGAAACCGGGCGACUUGAGUGCAGAAGAGGACAGUGGAACUCCAUGUGUAGCGGUGGAAUGCGUAGAUAUAUGGAAGAACACCAGUGGCGAAGGCGGCUGUCUGGUCUGCAACUGACGCUGAGGCUCGAAAGCAUGGGUAGCGAACAGGAUUAGAUACCCUGGUAGUCCAUGCCGUAAACGAUGAGUGCUAGGUGUUGGAGGGUUUCCGCCCUUCAG